AUGUCCGCCUGCGCCUAUCUCCGGGCCCGCUCUAAGAUAAGCUCGCCCGGCACCGCGCCGCUGCGUUCCGCUGGGACCCAGCGCCACAAGAAGCCUUUCCCUGUGUCCGAAGGCUCUCCCCAGCCCGUUCCUGGCCGCCCGGGCCCCCCCGGCGCUCCCGGAGCCGCGGGACCCGCCAGGGGAGGCCGGGCCGCACCGCCCCUCGCGCCCCGCUCCCCUCCGCCAAUGGGAGAGCCGCUUACUCGUCGGGCGCGCGCCCUCCCGCCAAUGGGCGGCGCCGUUGUUGGGUUUGCGGGCCGUGGAAGCCGCACCCUGUCGGGCGGGGGCCGCUCGGUGCCUGAGGGGGCGGCGGGAGCGGCGGGAGGCGGGGACCGAGACAGCGACAGCCUCGUCAGGGGACCGGCCGCCGCGGCCCCUUCGCUCCUGCCCGUUCUCCUCUGUCCUCGGCACCCCGUGGAUGGUGUUUGCUGUGGUCUCCUCAGUUGAGAACGUUUGGUGCUUGGGAGCUGCAGAUGUUGCAGGGGAAGAGGCUCCAGGAACGCCCUUUUCAGAAGUGCUGCUGUUCCAAUCAGGGUGAGCUGAGAUGGGCUCAUUUGCCAUCAGGACUCGGGUACAGCAGCUCAGCAAACACUCCUGGUCUUGAAUGAGUUUAAGCAUUGCUGCUGCUCUGGGGAAUCUCAGUCUGGCUGUUCUUCACUGGAGGGCAAGGAGAGGCUCAGGGCAGAGGUGGCUGUGAGUGACUGCUGCCCAGUGGGUGCCUGCUGCUGUGCCUGGGCUGCCUGGGUCCUUUCAGGGAGGCUGCAAACCUUGUCCUUGAACGUGCGGCCAAACAGGAGCAGCAACUUCUUCAGUCCCUUCCUCGCUUCCUCCCUUUGACCUUGCUGAUUGGAUUGCGUGCUGAGGAGUGAUCUCUGCCUGCUCUGCUGGAUUCACUUGGGAUCCAGUGCGAGAUCAGCCUUUCACACUCACAUCAGUUGCACUAACGAGUGGAACAACAAACAAAUUUUUCACUAUCACUUAUUUGUAUGGUUUUCCCUGCAGAUUAAUUAAAAAUGAGCAUAAAUAAAAGCAAAUCUCAAUUCA
rnacentral:lncRNA from 1 species